rnacentral:rRNA from 1 species
GGGGAGGCUUGCACAGGUGCUGCAUGGCUGUCGUCAGCUCGUGUCGUGAGAUGUUCGGUUAAGUCCGCUAACGAGCGCAACCCUCGCUGUGUGUUACAAGUGUCACACGGUACUGCCGGUCUUAAGCCGGAGGAAGGUGGGGAUGACGUCAAGUCAGCAUGGCCUUUAUGUCCUGGGCUACACACACGCUACAAUGGCCAACACAAUAGGUUGCUAAGCCGCGAGGUGGAGCCAAUCCUCAAAGUUGGUCUCAGUUCAGAUUGCAGGCUGCACCCGCCUGCAUGAAGAUGGAGUUGCUAGUAACCGCAGGUCAGCUAUACUGCGGUGAAUACGUUCCCGGGGCUU